UUUGGCAAUCAACAAACACACCACUUUAGUUUAUCUUAAACUCAAUUUCCAAACAGCACACCUUUUAGUUCAGGUUGAACUAAAUUUCCAAGAGUAUAUGAUUUUUGUUUGAUGAUUUGCAUAAUUUAAUCUUAAUAGGUAUUUGAGGACCUAUAUAGUUUAACUGUCAUACUGUUGAUGAGAAGACAAAGAAUAUAGAUAUCAAUGGAGGAUUAAUCUAUUGGCCCAUCAGGAAUUCUUAACAGAAAUUCAAUAUUUUUGCUAUGUUCAAUAGGAGAAAUAACGUAAAAAGAGAUUUUUAAAAAGCUAAACCAGCAAAAGAAUAUCAUAGACCAAUCUUCGUAAUUGUUGUUACAGAUUUUCCCCUAAUUUUCAGAUGAUUAGAAGAGAUGAAAAAUAUAUUUCUGAUGUAAUAGGAAUCUAUUAGUUCUGACAUAAAUUUUCUAGCCAGUUGAGCUCAAGCCUCAAUGAUCAUACUUCUUUUCCAGCAAGGAACAAAAGCUAGAAUUAGAUUAAAGUCAGGCAAAAAAUGGAUGGUGAUCUUCAACUGUAGGCCAUUUGAAAUCUGUAAUGAAUUCAUUGUACAAUUCACUCAGUCUGAGGCUGAAUUCACAUCAGAAUAAACAAGUCUCAUUUGCUACCUCCACCUUCUCGUAGGCAAUAGGUUUUACAAACAAAGCUUCUUAUCAUCAUAAUGUGACUUGAAAUCUCUUAAAUGUCAGUAUCUUAAUAGUGUCAAUUUUCUGAGUUGGAAAAUCAGAUGAUUAAUGGGCUUUUUAUGUGAUAAAUUGUGCUACCCAAACAUUUGGGUGGAAACUGGCCCAUGAGUUUAUUCCCAGUUGUUAUGAUAGAAGAUAUUUUUGCCCUUGAUUCAUAAACCAUAACUUAAUAUUUAACAGGAAUUUGUGUUAGUUGAAACAAUCUAUCCUGGAUUAAAAAUGUUAUGUUUUAAGCAACGGCUUGGAAAGAACUAAUCAAUUCAUAGUCUGCAUAUCCAGCCAAAGGGAAAUGGAACAGCUGGCCAGUGGUGCCUUCCUGUGGGAAGCCUCUUCCAUCCAUCUACAGUAUUGAUACCUUGAAAUGAAACAGAAAACAUGGAACUAGUAUGUAAACAAAAAAAAACAACAACAAAAGAAACUAAGCAACUCACUCAGCGUUUGUUGCAGUAACAUCCCUUGUUCAAAAUUAAAUGUUUUCUACACUAUAAGGUUCAGAAGAUGAGUUCUUGGAUAUAGACCUCCACGUCAAAGCUUCUCAAAUUAUAAUAUGCAUACACAAGACCAGAGGAUCUUGUUAAAAUGCAGAUUCUGAUUC
rnacentral:lncRNA from 1 species